GCAAUCCUAUUUUAGAGCCCAUAUCGACAAUUAGGGUUUACGACCUCGAUGUUGGAUCAGGACAUCCAAAUGGUGCAGCCGCUAUUAAUGGUUCGUUUGUUCAACGAUUAAAGUCCUACGUGAUCUGAGUUCAGACCGGAGAAAUCCAGGUCGGUUUCUAUCUGUAUAUUCAUUUCUCCCAGUACGAAAGGACAAGAGAAAUAAGGCCAACAUUCUUAGAUGAGCCUUAGAAUUAGUAUAUGAACUAAUCUCAAUAUUUUCAUUCAAUACAUUAAUGCUCUAGAAAAGAGCUA
rnacentral:rRNA from 1 species